rnacentral:rRNA from 1 species
UACGUAGGGGGCAAGCGUUGUCCGGAAUCAUUGGGCGUAAAGAGCGUGUAGGCGGCUCGAUAAGUCUGCUGUGAAAGUCCAGGGCUCAACCCUGGAAGGCCGGUGGAAACUGUCGGGCUAGAGUCCGGAAGAGGCGAGUGGAAUUCCCGGUGUAGCGGUGAAAUGCGUAGAUAUCAGGAGGAACACCGGUGGCGAAGGCGCCUAUCUGGCCCGAUACUGACGCUGAGGCGCGAAAGCUAGGGGAGCAAACGGG